CCUAAUCAGAUCAUAUAUUAUCAUAAAAAAUGACGUUAAAGAGGCGAUUUCCGAUGAAUCCUAAAAUAGCUCUGACCACCAUGUCCCCUUUCAAAAUUCAAUGGUCUUGCUUAUAAUAUCAUAUUAUCGUAGAGUCGAAGCUCAAUGGGGAUCAAGAUAAGCCUCGUGAAGCAACAAAGACAACAAAACCAUUCACAAAGGCACUGUCUAAUGUUUGCGACAUAGACCUUUCUCAGUUACCUCAGCCAUGCCUCAAGGGUACAUAUUAGCCAUUGUAAUACCAAAAUGUGAAUACAUUGCAUGAGUCAAAGUCUGCUAACAUAACCUCCAUGGGCGCAUCAUUUUUCCUAAAGGCAUUAUCCCUCAUACCAGACUUCACAAAAUUGUCUUAUACCUUCGCUUUAGAAUUGGAAGAUUACCUUUUUGGUAUCUUGGCAUCCCUAUUUUUAGAAUCAAACCAAAAUCUUCCCACUUAUGGCCUAUUACUGACAAAAUCAAGAGUAAGUUAGUUGCUUGGAAGGCUUCCAUGCUCUCUAUUGCUAGCAGAACCCAACUCGUCAUAUAUGUGAUUCAAAGUAUGUUAACUUACUCCAUCACAAUUUAUGCAUGGCCGAUCUCUCUUCUAAGGGAACUUGAGCAAUGGAUUCAAAACUUCAUAUGGUUCAGGGAUAUUUCUCAAAGGAAAAUGGUAACAAUGGUGUGGAAGAAGUUUUGAUUUCCCCUUAAGGAAGGUGGUGUAGGAUUUAGAUCCUUAAUUACUCUCAAUGAAGCCUCAAAUCUCCUUCUUUGCUGGAAAUCACUACAUUCCAAUAAAGACUGGGGAAAGAUCAUCUGAAGCAAGGCCAAUAUAUCUUCCUCUCACAUUCAUCAUCAUAUUAUCUCUUCUAUUUGGAGCAUUGUGAAAGCUGAGUUCCCUAUGGUUAUGGAGAAUUCUUGCAGGAUUAUUUGAUCCAACUCCAAAAUUCUCUUCUGGUUGAAUAGAUGGAUGGGGACCCAACCUAUAAAUCAUUUUCUACCUGUUCCUUAUCACUUACAUCACUUCCUCAAAUAUAGAGUUAGCGACUACUUGGUCCACAAGAAUUGGAUUUUCCCUUAACAAAUUCUGCUUCAUUUUCCUGAUCUAUCAAGGAUGGUGGAACAUGUCAUUCUGCCUGAUAAUUUGCAACCAUAUGGUUUUGUCUGGAUUCACCUUCCUGGUGGGCACCUAAACCUCAAGCAUGCAUAUAGUGUCAAAAUAAAUAAGAGAUCCAUGCCUAACUGGGCCAAGUGGAUAUGGUGCAGGGAUAUCCCUCCAGCUAAAUUCCCUAUUGCUUAGAGACUUUUGCAUUAUAAAUUCCCACAUAUGAGAUCUUAAAAAAACAUGGUUGUAACCUUCCCUCUAUUUGUAACCUUUGUUUCCUACAGGAAGAAACCUACAAGCAUUUGUUCCUCAACUGCAGCUUUGCUUUUAUCCUUUGGUGCUGGUUUUAUCAAUUUGUUUGAGCCAAUCUGUAAGCUUCCUCUUUCACAAAUCUUUUGAGUCGUUGUCAUAGCAACAGAUCUCCCUAACGUAUUUUGGUUUUAAAGUCUAUGGUGAUCAAAAUGUCAUCCACAAUCUGGUUUGGUAGAAACCAAGCUCGGUUUUAUAACAAAAACAUCACUUAGAAGGAAAACAUCCCCAUGAUCACCUCUGCUAUUUCUAUUGCUGGUACUUGCACCAACUUGAAGUCUUCUCUCUCUAUAAAACACUUUAGUCUUCUUAAAAAGUUUAAUAUCUCUUUUCAUCCUCCUAAUGCUACCUCCAUCAAAUAUGUCCUUUGGCAUCCUUCGUUUAUUAAUUGGACUAAGAGUAACAUCCAUGGAGCUACCAUUCAUGUUAUGGCUGCCUAUGGCGGUUUAUUUCUAAACAAUGACACAAAUUUUGUCGGUGCUUUCACUGAGCAAGUGCGCUGCAAUCGGCACUUUUUGAUGAGUUGUUUGGCGGGCUCUGGGCUAUCAAGUUAUCUCAUCGUUUGAAUAUCACUAAUUUAUGGAUUGAAUCUGAUUAUGCUCUUGUUGUUCAAGCUUUCCAAAAUAGAGUUCUUAUUCCUUGGAAUUUAAGUAAUCGUUGGUAUAAGUUCCUUGGUUUUGCUUGAAAUAUGAACUUUGUGGUCACUCAUAUCUUUAGAGAAGACAAUGUUUACACAGAUACUUUGUCCAAUAGAGGUCUUAGUCUUGACUGUCUC